rnacentral:snRNA from 1 species
AGCUCUCUGCCGAAUACUUGGCUUUGAUCAAAUGUAGUAUCUGUUCUGUUCAGUUUAAUCUCUGAACGAGGUCCAUUGGCCUCUACAAGAUUAACUCCAUUUUUGUGCGAACGGGUGGUGGUCCGCUGGGUAUAUCCUAUGACCACUUCCACAGCGUCCCUGAUAUCUUCACUACCAUCAGGCUGACGCGAACUCCU